GCCGCCCCCCGUUUAUUGUCCCGGCUUUCCUCCUGCCCCAGUAGGGACUGGGAGGGACUGGGAAGGACUGGGAGGGACUGGGAGGGACUGGGGGAUCCUCAUGGGGUCCGGUGGCUCCCAGCAGGGUCAUUGUUACACCCCGUUAUUUAUCCAUGGAUUUUGUGAUUUUCGGGAUCCGCCGCCCCCCGUUUAUUGUCCCGGCUUUCCUCCCGCCCCAGUAGGGACUGGUUUGUACUGGGAGGCACUGGGAGGGACUGGGGGAUCCCUGUGGGAUCUGGUGGCUCCUCCAGGGAUGGAUUGUGGGAUCCAGGGAUGGAUUAAUGAGAUCCAUGGUUGCAUUCAUGGGAUCCAGGGAUGGAUUCAUGGGAUCAAUGGAUGGAUUGUGGGAUCAAUGGAUGGAUUGUGGGAUCCAGGGAUGGAUUGUGGGAUCCAGGGAUGGAUUCAUGGGAUCAAUGGAUGGAUUUGUGGGAUCAGUGGAUGGAUUAAUGAGGUCCAUGGAUGGAUUUGUGGGAUCAAUGGAUGCAUUCAUGGGAUCAUUGGAGGGAUUUGUGGGAUCCAAGGAUGGAUUUGUGGGAUCCAGGGAUGGAUUAACGACACC
rnacentral:lncRNA from 1 species